GACGAACGCUGGCGGCGUGCUUAACACAUGCAAGUCGAGCGAGAGAAAUUCCUUCGGGAAGGACUCUAGCGGCGGACGGGUGAGUAACACGUGGGUAACCUGCCUCAUAGAGGGGAAUAGCCUUUCGAAAGGAAGAUUAAUACCGCAUAAGAUUGUAGUAUCGCAUGAUGCAGCAAUUAAAGGAGUAAUCCGCUAUGAGAUGGACCCGCGUCGCAUUAGCUAGUUGGUGAGGUAACGGCUCACCAAGGCGACGAUGCGUAGCCGACCUGAGAGGGUGAUCGGCCACAUUGGGACUGAGACACGGCCCAGACUCCUACGGGAGGCAGCAGUGGGGAAUAUUGCACAAUGGGGGAAACCCUGAUGCAGCAACGCCGCGUGAGUGAUGACGGUCUUCGGAUUGUAAAACUCUGUCUUCAGGGACGAUGAUGACGGUACCUGAGGAGGAAGCCACGGCUAACUACGUGCCAGCCGCCGCGGUAA
rnacentral:rRNA from 1 species